rnacentral:rRNA from 1 species
AUUGAACGCUGGCGGCAGGCCUAACACAUGCAAGUCGAGCGAGCGGCGGACGGGUGAGUAAUGUCUGGGAAACUGCCUGAUGGAGGGGGAUAACUCCUGGAAACGGUAGCUAAUACCGCAUACCAUCAGAUGUGCCCAGAUGGGAUUAGCUAGUCGGUGGGGUAACGGCUCACCUUGGCGACGAUCCCUAGCUGGUCUGGGAGGAUGACCAGGGAGACUGGAACUGAGACACGGGCCAGACUGCUACGGGAGGCAGCAGAGGGGGAUAUGGCAGAAUGGGCGCAAGCCUGAUGCGGCCAAGGCGCGGGUGUGAAGAAGGCCUUCGGGGUGUAAAGCACUUUCAGCGGUGAGGCGUUACGCGCAGAAGAAGCACCGGCUAACUCCGUGCCAGCAGCCGCGGUAAUAC